ensembl:lncRNA
AUAACUGUCAUUUCUAGGAAAUCAGGGAAAUUCUGCUUCAGAGACAGCAACAAGGGAAGAAUUGAAACUUCUCAAGGUUAAAAGGAUCGUUUCCAGAAUGUGAAGUGGGUAAUCAAGAAGCAUUACAGAAAGAUAUGGAUUUAAUCGGUGGACUAUUCAGUAGAAGAUCUGGCUGCAAGAUUUAGUCCAGAGAGUGGUGGUCAAUGGCUUCGUGUCUGGAUGGAGAUCAUUGAUGAAUGGUGUCCCACUGGGGUCAGCGCUGGUACAAAUACUCUUUAGUAGCUUCAUCAGUGACAUUGAUGGUGGGGUCAAGUGCACCCUCAACAAGUUUGCUGAUGGCACCAAGCUGUGGAGUGUGGUUGACACACCAGAGGAAUGCAAUGUCAUCAAGAAAGACUUAGGCUUGAGCAGUGGGCCCAGGCUGAGUGGCCCUCAUGACGUUCAACAAAUCCAUCUUGCACCUGGAUCGAGGCAACCCCCAUCACUAAUACAAGCUGCGUGAUGAAAGGAUUGAGCACAGCUUUGCCAAAAAAAAAUCUGGAGGUACUGUUGAAUGGGAAACUGGGCAUGAACCAGCAAUAUUCCCUCACAAUCCAGAAAACCAAUUGCAUCUUAGGCUGCAUCAAAAGAAACACAGCCAG